UACGUAGGGCGCGAGCGUUGUCCGGAUUCAUUGGGCGUAAAGAGCUCGUAGGCGGUUCGGUAAGUCGGGUGUGAAAUCCCCGGGCUCAACCCGGGAACUGCUUCUGAUACUGGCGGACUUGAGGCCAGUAGGGGUCACUAGAACUGACGGUGGAGCGGUGAAAUGCGUAGAGAUCGGUAGGAACCCCCGUGGCGAAGGCGGCUCACUGGCCCGAUACUGACGCUGAGGCACGAAAGCGUGGGGAGCAAACAGG
rnacentral:rRNA from 1 species